rnacentral:rRNA from 1 species
AUGAAUGUCAUCAUGACAUCACCUAGGAAGAAGACAAACACCAGACCAAAGGCUUCAUAUGAUCCAAAGGCUUCAUACAGACAGAGGACCUCACAAGGUCACCCUAACGCCAAUGUUUUGCAGGGAAACCAUACGCAGACUUAUGAAUAUGAGUGCGUUUCUUCAAACCGCUAUGUUCAUAAAACAAAGAACUUUUCUGCCUAUUCUUAUGAGUAUUAUUCACCUCCUGCAAGGCUAUUUGCUAGGGCUCCAAAGCCAAAGUUCUCAGAUGCUGCACUUAGACUCAUUUCUUCUAAGCCACCCCUGAAGAUUUGGGUGGUUAAGAAGAAUUAA